CAUGCCAAAGCAAAAAAGAAGUGGAUUUCCUGAGCUCUCAAUUCAGAUCCCAGCUGAAAGGGGAAGAAAUCAGCUGUGUGACCAGAGGGUGGCACAGGAUGCAUGAACCUCUUCUGUCCAUCUUCAAGGCCACAGACCAGCCCCUGCCUCCCAGAAAAAUCUACUUGUGAGAAAAACUCCUGGUUGGACUGAUCAGAUGUAAAGGGUUUAACUUAGUAUGGAUAUAUAGAGCAGGGAUCCACAAGAAGAGGUUUGGCAUUCAUGGAAACAAUCAUGAAAGAAAAACAACUAUUUUACCCCACUAGCCUGCCAACAUGGUGACCAGACCCUCCAAGGAUGUUGAAAUGGGAAGGCAGAGUCUGUGAGAUAACUCAAAAGGCCAUCCCCAGCCUUCAGGAACUAUCUCCAAAUCGUUUGGAAAAUCCCAUGCCCUCGAUCCUUUCUCGGGCAGCAGAUACCUUCAUCUCCACUACCAUCAUCACUACCCACAACAAAGGAUAGCUGGCAUUACAAUGGAUCCAGCACUAGGAAGUCUACUUACAGGCAAAAAUCUCAUCUAAUCAUUACAAAAACAAAAACAAAACAAAACACCUCUGAAGAAAAUAGCCUCAUUUCCAUCUUACAGAUGAUAGAAGUUAAGAUUUUGAAAGGUUAUAUAACUGACGAUGGUCGCAUAGCUAGAAAAUAGUAGGUUCUGUGAUUUCAGACACCUUGCUCUAUGAUGUUAUACUUCCUCCCCUUAAUGUAAACUAGUUGUGAGAAGUGGAUCUUCCAUAUUCCCUCGGACCAGUGUUUCCCAGGCCUUGGUUUGACUUCUGGUAGGGAUAGUGCAUGUCUAGCUUUCUCCAUUCCAUGAAUGGACACCUCUUACAUGUGUCUUGCAACCUCUCUUAAGACAUAAACCCAGGCACAAAACAAAUGCCCCUAAAUAAAUACCAGACCAAAAUAGAACCUUUAAUUUUG
rnacentral:lncRNA from 12 species